AACGAACGCUGGCGGCAGGCUUAACACAUGCAAGUCGAACGGGUGUAGCAAUACAUCAGUGGCAGACGGGUGAGUAACACGUGGGAACCUUCCUAGAGGUACGGAACAACGCAGGGAAACUUGCGCUAAUACCGUAUACGCUCGAGAGAGGCAAGAUUUAUCGCCUUUAGACGGGCCCGCGUCGGAUUAGCUAGUUGGUGGGGUAACGGCUCACCAAGGCGACGAUCCGUAGCUGAUCUGAGAGGAUGAUCAGCCACACUGGGACUGAGACACGGCCCAGACUCCUACGGGAGGCAGCAGUGGGGAAUCUUGGACAAUGGGCGCAAGCCUGAUCCAGCCAUGCCGCGUGAGUGAAGAAGGCCUUCGGGUUGUAAAGCUCUUUUACCAGGGACGAUAAUGACGGUACCUGAGAAUAAGCCCCGGCAAACUUCGUGCCAGCCGCCGCGGUAACAC
rnacentral:rRNA from 1 species